UACGUAGGGUGCAAGCGUUAAUCGAAAUUACUGGGCGUAAAGCGUGCGCAGGCGGUUCGUUGUGUCGGCGGUGAAAUCCCCGGGCUCAACCUGGGAACUGCAUUUGUGACUGCAUCGCUGGAGUGCGGCAGAGGGGGAUGGAAUUCCGCGUGUAGCAGUGAAAUGCGUAGAUAUGCGGAGGGAACACCGAUGGCGAAGGGCAAUCCCCUGGGCCUGCACUGACGCUCAUGCACGAAAGCGUGGGGAGCAACAGG
rnacentral:rRNA from 1 species